GAUGUUUCUGGUGACCACCUCUUUAUUUCUUCUGUGAUCACAGACCAUCCACUUAAUAAUAUGCUCUAACAUUCUUCCAACAGUGAGCAAUAGAUCACUUGUCUAUAGUUUUUAUAAUUCACAUUUUCCCCUUUGUAAAACUGAGGACAGUAUUUUCCUAUUAAUCCAUUUCUUCAUAUGAUAGUGUCAAGACGGCCCAAAAGUGUAUUCCUGCACAUUAAAUUCAGGGUCCAAGGAAUUGUCUGCAUUUUUAAAACAGAUUACUGAGCCAGACCGAGAAGCGGAGCCUUAGCCUCAAAGAAUUCUCCUGAACACCUUAAGGAUUUACCAUCAAGGCCCGGCUAGCUGUUAGAAGAUGGAGGAUAAAGGCUCUAUUCACCCUGCCAUCUAGGUGGCUUUAGGGUCUCCUGUGCCCCUGAGUCAGAAAAGGAAAAAUCACUUCUGAAUUAUGAUCUAUGGAACAUAGGGGACCAUUCAUAUCCAAUCCUGAGGAUGAGAAUCUCCCACCAGCUGAUGUGUUGACCACAUCACCCGUGGAGCCCAGGGCUCAGUGUGUGCUAGAGAACCAGCGGUGAAGACGUCCAUCCUCACCUCCCUUCAAGGACCUAGCUGGCUGAACCUUUGAGGGCAACACUCAAAAGAUUGAUGGAAGUAAAUCUAGCCAUGUAAAUAAAACUAAACAGAAGGCAUCUUCUUUACCUCUUCACUUCUCAUUGGCUUGUUUAA
rnacentral:lncRNA from 1 species